UACGUAGGGGGCAAGCGUUGUCCGGAAUCACUGGGCGUAAAGGGCGCGUAGGCGGUAUAUUAAGUCAGGUGUGAAAGUUUUCGGCUCAACCGGAAAAGUGCACUUGAAACUAAUAGACUUGAGUACUGGAGAGGUAAGCGGAAUUCCUAGUGUAGCGGUGAAAUGCGUAGAUAUUAGGAGGAACACCGGUGGCGAAGGCGGCUUACUGGACAGAGACUGACGCUGAGGCGCGAAAGCGUGGGGAGCAAACAGGAUUAGAUACC
rnacentral:rRNA from 1 species